CGAACGCUGGCGGCGCGCCUAACACAUGCAAGUCGAACGGAGUCAAGAGGAGCUUGCUUUUCUUGACUUAGUGGCGAACGGGUGAGUAACGCGUGAGUAACCUGCCCUGGAGUGGGGGACAACAGUUGGAAACGACUGCUAAUACCGCAUAAGCCCACGGAUCCGCAUGGAUCUGCGGGAAAAGGAUUUAUUCGCUUCAGGAUGGACUCGCGUCCAAUUAGCUAGUUGGUGAGGUAACGGCCCACCAAGGCGACGAUUGGUAGCCGGACUGAGAGGUUGAACGGCCACAUUGGGACUGAGACACGGCCCAGACUCCUACGGGAGGCAGCAGUGGGGGAUAUUGCACAAUGGGGGAAACCCUGAUGCAGCGACGCCGCGUGGAGGAAGAAGGUUUUCGGAUUGUAAACUCCUGUCGUUAGGGACGAUAAUGACGGUACCUAACAAGAAAGCACCGGCUAACUACGUG
rnacentral:rRNA from 1 species